AUUGAUGGAAAAAUUUCCCUGGCAGAUUAUUUAAAUGUAAUGAGGCCUUUUUCCUGUGCUGUAAGUGAAAUGAUCUGCCAGUGGAAGUAUCAACCCUAACCCAUCAAAGUUAAGGAGUCAGUGACUUAAAAUAAGCUUCUGUUUCUUGCAGAAAGUGACUUGUAGGUUAGUUUAGUCUUAUUCGAAGUGCACUAAGACGGUGGAUUUUCUGUUUUUGCAGUGCAGUUUCAGUCUGAGCUGGAUGUUUAGUUUUCCGUCAGUAUCUGUGAGGCUUCAUCUGUGUCAUGUGGAGGGUAACACGAGGGGGACCGCUGGGAUGCCGUUGUCUCUCCUGAUAAUCUGUAUUUAUUUUUCUGUGAAGGGUGGAAAAUUUGCUGCUAAUCCCUCAGGUUUCUGUAAGUGUUUUAUCAACCAGAGAUUCUUCACCAGAUGACACCGGAGAUAAGGCGGAGGGAAAGACUCUACGUGAUGCCGGACGCAUAAUCCCGGCCAGAAGCAGAGAAAGGUGAAGAGGGGUGACACGCAGCGGUGGUGAGGGUGGUGUUUGUGGCCCUACAGCAGUCUGCCUGAUUACAUCGCCACACAAGCGUGUCUUCAAAGCCUUCCCCUCCCCACCGCCCAGUUUGACCAGAUAAGGGCCCCCUCUCGCUGUGGUUCAGCUGGGGGACAGGAAGACACACGAAGGGGUCAACAGUAGUGCCAUCUGCGCCUCAUGUUCAGCAAAUACUGCACAUCUCUGUCAACAGACCGUCUUACUGUACAAACACCUCCUCUGGUGAUCCUGCAGCCGGUCUGCGUUUCAGUAGUUCAACGGUAACCUUCCACUUCCUGCCUCCAAACGACUCCGCCGUGACCUCGCCUGCAAGGUGGUUUCCAGGCUUGGGAAGGGUUUGAUGAGUGAACGGCUGACAAGCCGGGACAACAAAGGAGAUGGAUGCAGUCACCGCGUAAUAAAAUCCGGGAAUAUCAAAGUCAGCUUAAAGAAAGCUGCGGCGCGCAGAGUGAGCUGUUCCCCAAGCAUGUGUCUGCGUAGCGAGGGGAAGCUGCCAUGUGGGGACUUGAGCGGCAGCCAGUGAAAACAGAAUCGGCUUUGCAUGGAGGAGAAAAGUUACACAACAGAGCCUGUAAUACCUGGUCAAACAAACUUGUGACUGUAGGAGGAUUUCAGACAAUUGAGUGGUUGAAGAUUGAAAAGGAUCACAAGACUGCGACCAAAUAAGACUCAGUUUUUCAUCUGGGAGAGGCCUGGCUCGCUUCGCCCAUUAUUAAUGAUGUCGUGAGCGUGAAACUUUGAUUUGUGUGCGGACUAAUGGGAAACAAAUUGUCUGAGCAUGUUUUUGAUUUGAGACGGAGGGAUUCCUUAAUCCUGAACCAAAAGGAAGAAACAGACCUCAGAGGUUUGGUUUGGUGAAGAGGGAGAGUGACAAGAACCGGGCCAAACCCUCCACACCCCAAAGUGAUUACGCCUGGUGCUUUGAUUUGUUUUUUGUGGCAGAGAUUCAGCAUAACAGAAACAUCGCUUAGAGACGCGUCAGCAUCAUGCAGCUGCUGUAGCGUUACGUUCACUGUGACGAUCUUAUGGAAGAAGAUUAGGGCCAAAAAAAUAAAACUCUGACUAAACAUCUGAGAAAAAAAGUCAGAAUCCUGAGCCAGAAUUCUAAGUUUAAAUUAUAUAUAGGGCUGCACAGCAAGAAGGUUCUGGGUUCGAUUCCCGGCCCCGGU